ACCAUGCCACUCAGGCUGGCACCAAUAAAUGUGGUCACUUCUGACAACAGACGAGUGUUAUUUGGUCUAUAACUAACCGGAAGCCCCCGGGGCCGGAUGCUGAGCCUCCAGGGGCCCUCGGAGGCUCCUGGAAUCUUCU